rnacentral:rRNA from 1 species
CAGGCCCUACGGGGCGCAGCAGUCGCGAAACCUCCGCAAUGCGCGAAAGCGCGACGGGGUCACCCCGAGUGCCAUCCGCUGAGGAUGGCUUUUCCCCGCUGUAGAAAGCCGGGGGAAUAAGCGGGGGGCAAGUCUGGUGUCAGCCGCCGCGGUAAUA